rnacentral:rRNA from 1 species
CCCUUAGAUGUUCGGGGCUGCACAUGCGCUACACUGAAGGAAUCAACGUGUAUUUGCCCUUGCCCGAAAGGGUUGGGUAACCCGUUGAACCUCCUUCGUGCUAGGGAUUGGGGCUUGUAAUUAUUCCCCAUGAACGAGGAAUUCCCAGUAAGCGCGAGUCAUAAGCUCGCGUUGAUUACGUCCCUGCCCUUUGUACACACCGCCCGUCGCUACUACCGAUUGAAUGGUUUAGUGAGAUCCUCGGAUUGGUCCCGCCACGGGAGGAAACUUUCGAGACGGAGUGCCGAGAAGACGAUCAAACUUGAUCAUUUAGAGGAAGUAAAAGUCGUAACA